GUUGUGUUAUUGAGUAGGUAGUGCUGCAUUGGGGUUCCUUGAUAGCCUACUUGAUAACAUUAGUUUUGAUUUUAUGUUUUUCAUUUAAAUUUAAUUGCUCAAAUUUAAAUAAAAUAAUUUACUAAUAAUUAAAAUUGCAUUAAAUAAAGAUCCUAAAUAUUACAUCAAAAAACACCUAAAGACAUACAUUAAAAAUUACUUAAAUCCUAAAAAAUAUAUUUAAAACUAACAUUAAAAUAUCUAAUUUCAAAGAAAAGAAAAAAGAAAAAAAAAGGUGAUUCUCGGGUAUACUCGAACAAUCGAGUAUACCUCGAAUAGGCAAGCUCUGCAAUGGGGCUACUCGAGUAAGGGGCUACUCGAUAGCCACUCGAGUAAGGGCAUCGAGUAGCCCGUUGUGGUUGCUCUUA
rnacentral:lncRNA from 1 species